UUUGGCAAUGAAAGGGUGAUGGCUUGGAGGGCCACUAAGAGUAGUAGUAUGCUAGCCCAACCCAUUUCCUACGUCCUUGUCUUUCUUUGUAUUUGCUCGGAUCAAUCAAAGGUGUUCAGGGAGGCGGAAGACAAAAGAGAGGUGGUGGGUUGCGACAUUUAGAAGGAUUUAAUGGGGUUCGGGGGUUUUGCACGCAAACAGCGAAUAUUGG
rnacentral:lncRNA from 1 species